AGGAUCAUUACCUAGAGUUGCGGGCUUUGCCUGCUAUCUCUUACCCAUGUCUUUUGAGUACCUUCGUUUCCUCGGCGGGUUCGCCCGCCGAUUGGACAAUUUAAACCAUUUGCAGUUGCAAUCAGCGUCUGAAAAAAACUUAAUAGUUACAACUUUCAACAACGGAUCUCUUGGUUCUGGCAUCGAUGAAGAACGCAGCGAAAUGCGAUAAGUAGUGUGAAUUGCAGAAUUCAGUGAAUCAUCGAAUCUUUGAACGCACAUUGCGCCCCUUGGUAUUCCAUGGGGCAUGCCUGUUCGAGCGUCAUUUGUACCUUCAAGCUCUGCUUGGUGUUGGGUGUUUGUCUCGCCUCUGCGCGCAGACUCGCCUCAAAACAAUUGGCAGCCGGCGUAUUGAUUUCGGAGCGCAGUACAUCUCGCGCUUUGCACUCAUAACGACGACGUCCAAAAGUACAUUUUUACACUCUUGACCUCGGAUCAGGUAGGGAUACCCGCUGAACUU
rnacentral:rRNA from 1 species